GAUGAACGCUGGCGGCGUGCCUAAUACAUGCAAGUCGAGCGAACAGACGAGGAGCUUGCUCCUCUGACGUUAGCGGCGGACGGGUGAGUAACACGUGGAUAACCUACCUAUAAGACUGGGAUAACUUCGGGAAACCGGAGCUAAUACCGGAUAAUAUAUUGAACCGCAUGGUUCAAUAGUGAAAGACGGUUUUGCUGUCACUUAUAGAUGGAUCCGCGCCGCAUUAGCUAGUUGGCAAGGUAACGGCUUACCAAGGCAACGAUGCGUAGCCGACCUGAGAGGGUGAUCGGCCACACUGGAACUGAGACACGGUCCAGACCCCUACGGGAGGCAGCAGUAGGGAAUCUGCCGCAAUGGGCGAAAGCCUGACGGAGCAACGCCGCGUGAGUGAUGAAGGUCUUCGGAUCGUAAAACUCUGUUAUUAGGGAAGAACAAAUGUGUAAGUAACGAUGCACGUCUGGACGGUACCUAAGCAGAAAGCCACGGCUAACUACGG
rnacentral:rRNA from 1 species